UACGUAGGGGGGCAAGCGUUGUCCGGAUUUAUUGGGCGUAAAGAGCGUGUAGGCGGCUUUACAGGUCCGUUGUGAAAACUCGAGGCUCAACCUCGAGACGCCGGUGGAAACCGUAAAGCUAGAGUCCGGAAGAGGAGAGUGGAAUUCCUGGUGUGAGCGGUGAAAUGCGCAGAUAUCAGGAGGAACACCCGUGGCGAAAGCGGCUCUCUGGGACGGUACUGACGCUGAGACGCGAAAGCGUGGGGAGCAAACAGG
rnacentral:rRNA from 1 species